rnacentral:lncRNA from 1 species
AGAAUAUUUACCUAAUACAUUUCAUUUCAUUUGAUUUUGGUCCAAGUGGUUCAUUAUCUGACAUUUCUUAACAAAAUUUAAGUUUCUCCACUCCAGGAUGUGUAUGAUUUUUGGUAUGGUUUCUACUUCCAGACAACAAAUCUAUUCAUAUUAUAAACUUGGCUUUAGACUCGGUUACUUUAAUGUAACUUAAAUUUCAUCUCUUUUGUCUCCAUAUUAUGCUGAUGCUGAAAAUGUAAUAGAUGCUACAGCAAAAUAAAUUUAUAUGAGAAAGUGUGAGAAAGAAUGUGUAUCUGCCUCUGGGUAUCUUUCAAUCUCAAUUUGAAAUAUUAAAUAAUGUUUGCACCCUCAAAGAAGGUUGAAUUGGGAGAUAUCAAAUGGGCAGCUAUCUUAUUUAGAUUUGGCAAUUUUAUUCCUAACAGAAUAGCUAUGACCAAACUUUCAAUUUCGUUAUUCUUUAGCUUAGUUUAUGGUCAGUUGCCUUUACAGUCAUUUAUUUGAAAACUGUUCUUUAGAAUGAGAUUAAAAGAAAUUUAUGAUGUGUUUCACAAUUCCACUUGUAGUAUUAUGUGACUCUAGGGAUAAUAAAAUUGAGUAUGUUUCUUGAUAUUCUUUUCUAAAUACCACCCCAGGAAGACUUCUUCAGUAGUACAAUAAUUUCAAUUUUUCUUCUCCAUCUUAAAGCUAGAAAAUAUUUUACUGAAAAAAGCCAACAGAGUAUGUAUAGAUAUUUUAAAUAUAUUCAUAUAUAGGGUUUGUCUUUUCUCUUUAGUAGCAAUUGUUAUUUAAAUAAUGAUGUUGAAAAAAUAUAUGACAUUGUGCUACCCAACCAAUUAAAUAGAGGACAGGAUACUUCUUUAAGAGACAAUUCUACUUAGCAAAGGAUUAUUGAAUACUUACCAGGUGCCUUAUACUGAAGUAAAUCUUGAAGUAACAGGUCAGUGAAUGCAGCUGAGUCUCAGCUUUGAUAUUUGCUGAAAAUGUGACUUAGAUUAUUUAUUAUAAAAUUCUCUGCUAUUUAAAGGAUAUUAGAAAUACUUGUCUAACAAGCUUCAUGCUAAGAUUAAAUGAAAUAAUACAUACCAAAUGUCAAGUAGUGUAGAGGGCAGAGUGAUCCACAAAUGUUAGUUAUAUUUGGACUCCAGGGACUCAAGGCUCAAGGCACAAGACAUCUUGCAUGGAGAUAAUUUAACAUGUAAUUAAAAUACAGUGGAAUAGGUUUUCUUGUAAGUGAAAAAAAAUGAUGUGUCACAAUACAAAAGAGGCAUCUUGAACAAUAUCCUAAAUAUUUACUUUAGGAUCCAAAGAAAAUAAAAAAAUUAGCAGGGGGCCAAGGGAGGAUAUGGCAUAUUGUAGAAUGAAAGAAGAAGUCAGAAGAAAGAAAGAGAUGCACUUCCAGGAACUAAAAUGAUGUGCAGGUCAGUUGCAAUAUGGGAUAUGACCCCACAUCAACAGAGUUUCACAUGAGGCCACAUCAGGAUUCAUUGGUCCACUUUAUACUUUGAAAGUCACUUUUAUCCAUGUAGGAUUCUGUAUUUGUCAGGCAUUAGUUCACUAUUUUAUCUCAUACUGGUCCCUUUGGAAAAGAAUUUUAACUAUUGGCAGAUAACAAACUCAUUAUGGUUAAGUACUAUUUUCUAAUUUUCAUUUGAAAGCAAGAUAUCUUACUAUUGGUUUAAAAAAUAGUGUUAUUUUUUAAAAACAAAAUAAAACAGACUUUUUUGCUCCAUUUUAUUUGAGAAAAUGUCUAGCCAAUACCCAAUUCUGAAAAAGUAAAAUUUAUUUUUUGGUUAUUCUUUCAAAUAAGAGUGAAAAAUCAAACAAUUGCCAAG